UUGAUAUUGGGUUGUUCAGAAUUUUUAGGUCUUUUUGUUCAACUUUGGUAAUUCAUAUGUAUCUAGGAUUCUGUCCAUUUCUUCUGUGUUGUCCAUCUUAUUGGCCUAUAGGUUCUGGAAGUAGGUAUUGAUGAUCCUCUGGAUUUCUGCUGGGUCUGUUGUAAUUUCACCCUUUUCAUUCCUAAUUGCAUGGAUUUGGGCCUUUUCUUUCCUUUUUCUGACAAGGUUGGCUAAGGGUUUGUCAAUUUUGUUGAUUCUUUCAAAGAACCAACUCUUGGCUUCAUUGAUUUUUUGUAUCAUUCUCUUAGUCUCCAUUGCAUUGAUUUCUCCUCUGAUCUUCAUAAUUUCCUCCCUUUUAUGAGCCCUGGGGUUGUCCUGUUCUUCUUUUUCUAGAAGCUUGAGGUUCAGCAUCAGGUUGUUUAAUUGGGCUUGUUCUGUUUUCCUAAUAUGUGUAUUCAGUGCUAUGGAUGUCCCUCAUAAGACUGCUUUCAUUGUGUCCCAUAGAUUCCAAUAUGUUGUAUUGUCAUUGUCAUUUAAUUCAAGGAACUGUCUGAUUUCUUCUUGAAUUUCCUCUGUGACCCAUUGGUUAUUCAGAAGUGUGUUGUUCAAUUUCCAUGUGGAUAUGAAUUUUUUGAGUUUCUUUUGCUAUGGAUCUCCAAUUUCACUGCACUAUGGUCUGAUAAUAUACAGGGCAUAACUUCAACUCCUUUGCACUUACUUAAACAUGUUCUAUGUGUGAGUAUGUGGUCUAUUUUUGAGAAUGACCCAUGUGCAGCUGAGAAGAAUGUGUAUUCUGAUUUUGUGGGGUGGAAGACUCUGUAAGCAUCUGUUAAGUUCAUUUGUUCAAGAGUUCGAUUGAGUUCUAGUAUUGCAUUACUUAUUUUUUGUCUAGUUGAUCUAUCUAUUUGUUACAGUGGGGUGUUGAGCUCCCUCCACUUUGGGAGUGGCAUGGUGCCAUCCUGGAAUCCUCUCCUGUGGCAGGAGAUGUGGUAAGGUGGAUCGAGCACAUUCUCUUUUUUCCUGUGAGUGCUUGUGAACCAUUUCCAAACCAUCCCAUUAGAUAGGAGCUGCCAUCAGUGGCCCCAAAUCCACCUCCAUUAUUGGAGCAGUGUGGUGAUAGGCCAGAAUCCUCCCCCAUGGCAGGAAAUGUGGUAAGGUAGAUCAAAUGCAUUCUCUUUUUUCCUCUGAGUGGUUCUGAGCCACUUUGGGAGCAUCAUAUUUGCUGGGAGCAGCCAUACGGUGGCCCAAUGCCCCCCUGCACUAACAGGAGCGGCGUGGUGCCAUCCAGAAAUGUAGCCCCAUGGCAGGAGAUGUGGCAAGGUGGACUGAUCACAUUCUCUUUUUUCUUGUGUGUGGUUCUGAGACAUUUCAGAAGCAUCCCAUUAGCUGGGAGCAUCCGUACAGUGGGCCGGAAUUGGCCUCCACUAUGGGAGCAGAGUGGUGUCAGGCCAAAUUCCUCCCCCAUGGCAGGAGAUGUGUUAAGGUAGAUUGAACACAAUCUCUUUUUUCCUGUGAGCGGUUCUGAGUUACUUUGGAAGUAUCCAAUUAGCUGGUAUCUGCCAUACCCUUGCCCGGAAGCCGCCUACAGUACAGGAAUGGGGUGGUGCCAUCCCAAAAUAUUCCCCUGUGCCUGGAUAUGUGGUAAGUUAGAUCCAAUGCAAUAUCUUUUUUCCUGUGAGUGUUUCUGAGCCAUUUCAGAUGCAUCCCACUAGCUGGGAGCGGCCCUACAUUGGCCGGGCAGCCACCUCCACAAAGGGAACAGCAUGGUGCCAUCCCAAAAUAUUCCCCGUGGCAGGAGAUGUGAUAAGAUGGAUGGAACGAAUUCUCUUUUUUUCUGUGAGUGUUUCUGAGCCAUUUUGGAAGCAUCCCAUUAACUCUGAUCAUUGGUACAUUGGCCCAAAUGCUGCCUCCACUAUAGGAGUGGCAUGGUGCCAUGCCAGAAUCCUCCCUUGUCGCAGCAAAUUUGGUAAGGUAGAUCAAUCACAUUUUCUUUCUUCCUGUGAGCCAUUCUGAGUCAUUUUGGAAGCAUCCCAUUAGCUGGGCACGGUCGUACAGUGGCCCAGAAUCACCCUCCACUUCGGAAGCGGCAUGGUGCCAUCCAGAAAUAUUCCCCCAUGGCAGGAGAUGUGAUAAGGUGGAUCGAACGCAUUCUCAUUUUUCCUUUGAGUGGUUUGGAGACAGUUCAGAAGCAUCCCAUUACCUAGGAGUGCUGUAUGGUGCCACGGAAGCUGCCUCAAUUACAGGAGCAGAAUGGGGCCAACCCAGAAUUAACCACCAUGGCUUGAGAUGUCAUAUGGUAUACCAAAAGCAUUCUCUUUUUUCCUGUGAGCAGUUCCAAGUCAUUUCACAAGCAUCCCAUUAGCUGGGAGAGGCCAUACUGUGGCCUGGAAGCCACCUCCAAUAUGGGAGCAGCUUGGUGCCAUGCCAGAAUCAUCCCCCUUGGCAGGAGAUGUGGUAAUGUAGAUCAAAUGCAUUGUCUUUUUUCCUGUGAGUGGUUCUGAGCCAUUUUGGAAGCAUCCAAUUAGAUGGGAGAGGCCUUAUGUCAACCUGGAAUGUGCCUCAAUUACGGGCACAUGGUGUUGCCAGGCCAGAAUCUUCCCCCAUGGCAGAAAAUGUGGCAAGGCAUAUCAAAUGCAUUCCCUUUAUUCCCAUGAGCUGUUCUGAGCCAUUUUGAAACAUCCCUUUAGCUGGGAGCAGCCGUAUGGUGGCUCAGAAUCCACCUCCACUAUGGUAGCAGUAAGGUGCCUUGCCACAAUCCUCCUCCAUGGCAGGAGAUGUAAGGUAGAUUGAAAGCAAUCUCUUUUUUCCUGUGACUGGUUCUGAGCCAUUUUGGAAGCAUUGUAUUAUAUGGGGGCGGCCAUUUGUUGGCACAUAAGUGGCCUCCACAUCUGGAGCAGGCUGGUGCCCUCCUGAAAUAUUCCCCUGGGGCAGGAGAUGUACUAAGGUGGAUCUAAUACAUUAUCUUUUAUGCUGUGUAUGGUUCUGAGCCAUUUCAGAACCAUCCUAUUAGUUGUGAGCAUUGGUACAAUGGCCUGGAAGCCGCCUCCACUGUGGGACUGGCAUGGUGCCAGGGCAGAAUCCUCCCCUGUGGCAGAAGAUGUGGUAAAGUGGAUUGAACGGAUUCUCUUUUUUAGUGUGAGUGGGUCUGAGACAUUUUGGAUGCAUCCCAUUAGCUGGGAGCGGCCAUAUGUUGGCCUGGAAGCCCCCUCCAGUAUGGGAGCAGCAUGGUGCCAACCCAAAAUAUUCCCACAUGGCAGAAGAUGUGUUAAGGUGCAUGGAACACAUUCUCUUUUUUCCUCUGAGCAGUUCUGAGCCAUUUUGGAAGCAUCCCAUUAGCUGUGAGCAUAGGUACAGUGACCCAGAAGCCACUUCCACUAUGGGAGCAGCGUGGUGCCAGCCCAGAAUCCUCCCCGUGGCAGGAGAUAUGGUGUGGAUUGAGUACAUUCUUUUUUUCCUGUAUGUGGUUUUGAGCUACUUCAGAAGCAUCCCAUUAGCUAGGAAUGGCUGAAUGAUGGCCCAGAGGCCGCAUACAUUAUGGGAGUGGAGUGGCACCACCCCAGACUCAACCUCCAUGGCAGGAGAUAUAGUACAGUGGACAGAAAGCAUUCUCAUUUCUGAUGAGGGUUCUGGGCCAUUUCCUGGGCAUCAUAUUAGCUGUGAGCAUUGGAAUGGCAGGCCUGAUCCACCUCCAUUAUGGGAGCAGCAUAGUGCCAGCCCAGAAUCCUCCCCCGUGGCAGGAGAUGUGGUAACGUGUAUCAAAUGCAUUCUCUUUUAUCCUUUGUGGGGUUCUGAGCCAUUUUGGAAGCAUCCUGUUAGCUGUGAGCAGCCCCUCAGUGGCACGUAACCUGCCUCCAGUUUGGGAGCAGACUGGUGCCAUCCCGAAAUAUCCUGUGGCAGGAGAUGUGAUAAGGUGGAUCUAACGCAUUAUCAUUUUUCCUGUGAGUGGUUCUGAGCCAUUUCAGAAGCAUCCCAUUAGCUGUGAGCAUCGGUAAGUUGGCCCAGAAGCCGCCUCCACUAUGGGACUGGGGUGGUGCCAGGGCAGAAUCUGCCCCUGUGGGAGGAGGUGGGGUAAGCUAGAUCGAAUGCAUUCUCUUUUUCCCUGUGAGUCGUUCUGAGUCUUUUUGGAAGUAUCUAAUUAGCUGGGAGUGGGCUUAUGGCAAACUAGAAUGUGCCUCCAUUAUGGGAGCAGGGUGGUGCCAGCCCAGGAUCCUCCGCUAUGGCAGGAAAUGUGGCAAGGUAGAUCGAACCCAUUCUCUUAUUUUCUGUGAGUGGUUCUGAGCCAUUUCAGAUGCAGAUGCAUCCCAUUAGCUGGGAGUGGCUGUAUGGUGGUCUGGGAGAGGACUGCAUUACAGGAGAGGCAUGAUGCCAUCCGGAAAUAUUCCCCCAAGGAAGGAGAUGUGGGAAGGUGAAUGGAACGCAUUCUCUUUUUCCCUGUGAGUUAUUUUGAGCCAUUUCAGAAGCAACCAAUUAGCUGUGAUCAAAGGUACAGUGGCCCAGAAGCCGCCUCCACUAUGGGAGCAGCAUAGUGCCAUGCCAGAAUCCUCCUGCAUGGCAGGAAAUUUGGUAAGGUAGAUCUAAUGCAUUCUCUUUUUUCCUGUGAGGGUUUUUGAGACAUUUUGGGAGCAUCCCAUUUGCUGGGAGUGGCCAUAUGGUCACCCAGAUGCCCCCUGCACUAAGGGAGCAGCAUGGUGCAUCCAGAAAUAUACUCCCAUUGCAGGAGAUGUGGAAAGGUGGA
rnacentral:lncRNA from 1 species